rnacentral:rRNA from 1 species
GACAGAGGGUGCAAACGUUGCUCGGAAUCACUGGGCGUAAAGGGCGUGUAGGCGGGAGGGAAAGUCAGAUGUGAAAUCCCCAGGCUCAACCUGGGAACUGCAUUUGAAACUCCCCUUCUUGAGUACCGGAGAGGAAAGUGGAAUUCCUGGUGUAGAGGUGAAAUUCGUAGAUAUCAGGAGGAACACCAGUGGCGAAGGCGGCUUUCUGGACGGUAACUGACGCUGAGGAGCGAAAGCAUGGGGAGCGAACAGG